rnacentral:lncRNA from 1 species
AGUGGACCUAUCAUCUCGUGUUAGAAAGGAGAUAAAAUUUGUUUUUUUUCCUAGUAGUUGCAGUUGAUCAGUGGAAGAACUUUGAGUUUAUGUCACCAUCCUUCAGCCAGUAAAUUUUUGCUCUAUGUCGCCAGAAGGAUUCUUCUCGAGCAAUGAGGUUGCAUAGCUUAUCAUUGACUAUAGAAUAGAGAGAAGUAGCCUCAACAUCAUUUGAUUGAUGGAUGAACUCAAGCUCCUUGCGACAUGCUUCUAUCUUAUCACGAUUAAUGCCUCAAAUACUCUUUCCCCACAAAUUCAUAUCAUUAGAGCAAGCUUCAAGUUUCUGGAUGAGAUCUCUAGAAAAAGUAUUAUUCCAUCCAUCGUUUAGGGUUGGUUGAAG